rfam:Ixodes scapularis strain Wikel colony gcontig_1107728792380, whole genome shotgun sequence.
UUUUCGUUAGCUCAGUUGCUACAGCGCUCCACUGGAAAUGGAGAGGUCCCCGGUUCGAUACCUGGACGAGGCG